UGGGGAAUAUUGCACAAUGGGCGCAAGCCUGAUGCAGCCAUGCCGCGUGUAUGAAGAAGGCCUUCGGGUUGUAAAGUACUUUCAGCGAGGAGGAAGGCGUUGUGGUUAAUAACCGCAACGAUUGACGUUACUCGCAGAAGAAGCACCGGCUAACUCCGUGCCAGCAGCCGCGGUAAUACGGAGGGUGCAAGCGUUAAUCGGCAUUACUGGGCGUAAAGCGCACGCAGGCGGUCUGUCAAGUCGGAUGUGAAAUCCCCGGGCUCAACCUGGGAACUGCAUCCGAAACUGGCAGGCUAGAGUCUUGUAGAGGGGGGUAGAAUUCCAGGUGUAGCGGUGAAAUGCGUAGAGAUCUGGAGGAAUACCGGUGGCGAAGGCGGCCCCCUGGACAAAGACUGACGCUCAGGUGCGAAAGCGUGGGGAGCAAACA
rnacentral:rRNA from 1 species